rnacentral:rRNA from 1 species
GAACUUAAGCAUAUCAAUAAGCGCAGGAAAAGAAACCAACAGGGAUUGCCUCAGUAACGGCGAGUGAAGCGGCAACAGCUCAAAUUUGAAAUCUGGCCUCUCGGGGUCCGAGUUGUAAUUUGUAGAGGAUGUUUUGGGUACCGCCCCGGUCUAAAUUUCUUGGAACAGAAUGUCAAAGAGGGUGAGAAUCCCGUCUUGGACCGGCGGUAGGGCCUGUGUAAAACUCCUUCGACGAGUCGAGUUGUUUGGGAAUGCAGCUCAAAAUGGGUGGUAAAUUUCAUCUAAAGCUAAAUAUUGGCCAGAGACCGAUAGCGCACAAGUAGAGUGAUCGAAAGAUGAAAAGCACUUUGAAAAGAGAGUUAAACAGUAUGUGAAAUUGUUGAAGGGGAAGCGCUUGCAACCAGACUUGAGCGCGGCGGUUCCCCUGGCCUUUUGGCCAGGUUACUCCGUCGUGUCCAGGCCAACAUCGGUUUCGAGGGUCGGUCAAAGGCUCCGGGAAUGUAUCUACCCACGGGUAGACUUAUAGACCGGGGUGUCAUGCGACCUCUCGGGACCGAGGAACGCGCUUCGGCUCGGAUGUUGGCGUAAUGGUUGUCAGCGACCCGUCUUGAAACACGGACCAAGGAGUCUAACAUCUAUGCGAGUGUUUGGGUGUCAAACCCGGAACGCGAAAUGAAAGUGAACGGAGGUAGGAAGCUUCGGCUGCACUAUCGACCGAUCCUGAAGUUUACGGAAGGAUUUGAGUAAGAGCAUAGCUGUUGGGACCCGAAA